UAGGAGGUGAGGGUAAGAAAAAGUCGUAUAAAAGGAGAGAGAAAAGGUGAAAGAAAUCAGUCGAGUGCACAUCUCCGACACGGCAAUAACUGCAGAGCACUAUUUGUCCCCAACUCCAUACUUUGUUGUAUUAUCAGUUCACAAAAAAUGUUAACUAUGGCGUCGUGCUUCUGUUGGGUGUUGCAUCGUUGAUGGCUGGGUCAGCUGCUGUACCGAUGUUACAUCUUAUGAUGCCCGGGAUACUUCACCAAAGCCCCGAAGUAUAACUCUGCCCUGAGCUACAUCACAAAAGAGCCUGCCGAAUAGACUGAGGCUCCCACACCACCAAGUCACCGGGGUACUACAUGACUACGUAUGCUGCCCUUGCAUACUUCACCGAGGCUCCCAAAAACUACUUCGCCUCUUAGCUACUACAGUACUACACUGAGGCACCAACUUAUUACAACACCGAAGCGCCCAAUUACUACAACCUAAGCUGUCCAGAGCUACUACACCGACGCCCCGAAGUAUUACUCUGCGUAAAAGAUCUCUAUAAAAGGAGAGGAAAGGUGGUAGAAAUCAGUCGAGUGAGGAUCUCCGUCACGACAGCAACUGCAGUGCACAUCAGUCACCAACUGCAUUCCUCAUCGUAUAACCAGUUCGCAAUCAUGGUUAUUUAUGGCGUUGUACUGCUGUUGGGUGUCGUAUCGUUGGUGGCCACUGGUGUGGCGAUGUCUCCUGGUUAUGGCAGAUGUCAAACCACAACGCCACCGCCUUACUACACAACAACAACUUACGCAACGACCAUUACUACACCACCAAGGCUC